rnacentral:lncRNA from 1 species
UUGACAGGAAUGAUUCACCAUUUCUAGGCAUUGUGAGGAAAUGAACAAUACUGGCUCAUUUCAAAAAGGAGUCUUUCAAAGUCAGCACAUUCUAACACUUCUCUCUUCUCUCCCUUCAGUGCGUGAACCCCAGUGAUGUCUUAGAAAGAUGCACUGGUUGUCAUGGUAAAAGCUACACUAAUUGGCUUCCUCUAGUUGAUGUUCUGUCAAGCACACUGCCCCACUGAGGAUUUGGAAUAGAGCGCUUAACUUUUUGCUUCUCAAAGAACAUGUUCCCAGCAAGUCAGCUGCCUCAGCAGAAAAUGGAAGGAUGUAGCAACAAAGAGCAAUCAAGGAAGGAGAGACAGGAUCCCUGAUCAGACAGCAACCCUGUGGUGCCUUGAUAUUGGACUUCCCAGACUCCAGAUCUGUGAGAAAUACACUUCUAUUUUUUUAGAUAAAUUAUCCAGUCUAUAAUAUUUUGUAAUAGCACAAACAGGCUAAGAAACUUUGAGUUCCAGACUUUCAAAUCAAAAUGUCACUAUCUGGUACAUCUUGCCAUGGAUAUUUUCUUUGUUUGAAAACAUAAGGAAAUCUGAACUAUGAUUUUCAUGUCUCUAAAUGACUGAACAUAUCACUUAUAUAACUUAUAAUUUGAAUUUUUCUUGAGGACCAUUGGGUAAAUAUAUUGAUAAUUUUUACACAAGAUCAGGUAAACAGGUGCCAUCAUCUACAUGCUGAUUAAGUUUUGUUCUAGGUCUUUUUGGUAGUUCACUGUGAAAUUGUGAGCAACUUGUGUAACUUGAUGCCUCUUUUCCUAC